CACAGCUCACUGCAGCCUCAAGUUCCUAGGCUCAAGCAAUCCUCCCACCUCAGCCUUCUGAGUAGCUAGGACCAGAGGCUCAUGCCACUAUACCCAGGCAAGGACACAACAUUUAUCCACUAUGCAGGAUGCAACAACAGGGCACCAUCUUGGAAGCAGGGAGCAGCCCACACCAGACAUCAGACCUUGGACUUUCCAGCCUCCACAACUCCUCCAACCCUUGGCAGCCACCAUUCUACUCUCUGCUUCUACAAGUUCAACAACUUCAACAAGAAGUUCAACAACUUCUACAAGUUUCAGAAUUUGCUACCUUCUAACCAUGUGACUUUGGGAAAUUAUUUCAUCCACCUAUGUGUUCAGUAAGAUUGAAAUAAUAAUAUAGUAACCCCUACAAAUUUUGUUGAAAUUAUUAAGUAAAUUAACAAAUAUAAAGUGCUCCGGAGGCUAUUGGAUCCUGAUAAGUAUCUCAUAAUUAUAAAUGAUGAUAAU
rnacentral:lncRNA from 1 species